AAAGGUCUGUGUGUCCACAAAAUCCUAACACUCUAAUCUGUAGGUGCUGAUUUGAUUUUCAGCUGAAACUUCCUACGAAGAGAAAUCACCAUACGUGGCUUGUUGGCCCUGGGGGAAUAAGAGCUAAACUUGUCUAAGAGUGAAAUACACAGCUCGAGCAAAAGCUGCAGCAAAGUUCAGCCCUCCUCCUUCCAUUCGUGAUGCACCAGCCGCCACAGAAGGUCUAUUUAAUCAGCUUAAAGAGAAAGAAAAGCCACAGGAGACAUCUGAGCUGGCACAAAUCGUCACCUGAUGCUGGCCAAGCAAGUGCUCUCAUCUCCUGUGGACCAUCUCCUGUGCCGGAAACAGAGGACCAUGAAUGGGAUGAAGAUGUUUGUUUCUAGUUGCUGAAUGACUCUGUGCUUUAGCACACUUCUAAAAGCUGCCCAUGGGUAUAUUGUACACGAUGCAUUUCUGUUUGAAGAGGAAUGUGUGUGCGCUAAAGAGUCUAGAAGAGCAUCAACUUCAUCAGAGUCAUUUACAAGGUCCUCUGAAGGGUUGUUCUGAG